rnacentral:rRNA from 1 species
AUACGGAGGAUCCAAGCGUUAUCCGGAUUUAUUGGGUUUAAAGGGUGCGCAGGCGGCCAUUUAAGUCAGCGGUUAAAUCGUGGGGCUCAACCCCAUUCUGCCGUUGAUACUGGGUGGCUUGAUUGCGGUCGAGGUUGGCGGAAUUCGUUGUGUAGCGGUGAAAUGCAUAGAUAUGACGAAGAACACCGAUUGCGUAGGCAGCUGACCAGACCGCAAAUGACGCUCAUGCACGAAAGUGCGGGGAUCGAACAGGAUUAGAUACCCUGGUAGUCCGCACAGUAAACGAUGAAUACUUGUUUUCGGCGAUAUAAUGUCGGAGGCAAAGCGAAAGCGAUAAGUAUUCCACCUGGGGAGUACGCCGGCAACGGUGAAACUCAAAUGAAUUGACGGGG